rnacentral:rRNA from 1 species
AGAGUUUGAUCCUGGCUCAGGACGAACGCUGGCGGCGUGCCUAAUACAUGCAAGUAGAACGCUGACUACUUUAGCUUGCUAGAGUAGAAGGAGUUGCGAACGGGUGAGUAACGCGUAGGUAACCUGCCUACUAGCGGGGGAUAACUAUUGGAAACGAUAGCUAAUACCGCAUAACAGUGUUUAACACAUGUUAGAUGCUUGAAAGAUGCAAAUGCAUCACUAGUAGAUGGACCUGCGUUGUAUUAGCUAGUUGGUGGGGUAACGGCCUACCAAGGCGACGAUACAUAGCCGACCUGAGAGGGUGAUCGGCCACACUGGGACUGAGACACGGCCCAGACUCCUACGGGAGGCAGCAGUAGGGAAUCUUCGGCAAUGGGGGCAACCCUGACCGAGCAACGCCGCGUGAGUGAAGAAGGUUUUCGGAUCGUAAAGCUCUGUUGUAAGAGAAGAACGUGUGUGAGAGUGGAAAGUUCACACAGUGACGGUAACUUACCAGAAAGGGACGGCUAACUACGUGCCAGCAGCCGCGGCAAUACGUAGGUCCCGAGCGUUGUCCGGAUUUAUUGGGCGUAAAGCGAGCGCAGGCGGUUUAAUAAGUCUGAAGUUAAAGGCAGUGGCUUAACCAUUGUUCGCUUUGGAAACUGUUAAACUUGAGUGCAGAAGGGGAGAGUGGAAUUCCAUGUGUAGCGGUGAAAUGCGUAGAUAUAUGGAGGAACACCGGUGGCGAAAGCGGCUCUCUGGUCUGUAACUGACGCUGAGGCUCGAAAGCGUGGGGAGCAAACAGGAUUAGAUACCCUGGUAGUCCACGCCGUAAACGAUGAGUGCUAGGUGUUAGGCCCUUUCCGGGGCUUAGUGCCGCAGUCUCACGUCAUUAAGCACUCCGUCCUGGGGAGUA